rnacentral:rRNA from 1 species
AGAGUUUGAUUCUGGCUCAGGAUGAACGCUGGCGGCGUGACCUAAUACAUGCAAGUCGAACGAAGCACCUCGGUGCUUAGUGGCGAACGGGUGAGUAACACGUGGGGUAACCUGCCCUCAAGACGAGGAUAACCGUUGGAAACGAUGGCUAAGACUGGAUAGGAAUACGGGAGGCAUCUUCUGUAUUUUAAAAGACCUGGCAACAGGUAUGCUUGAGGAGGGCCUGCGGCGCAUUAGUUAGUUGGUGAGGUGAUGGCUCACCAAGACGAUGAUGCGUAGCCGGACUGAGAGGUUGAACGGCCACAGUUGGGACUGAGAGACCGGACCCAAACCUCCGUACGGGAGGCAGCAGGUAGGGUAAUUUUCGGACAAGUGGGGGAAACCCUGACCGAGCCAACGCCGCGUGAACGACGAAGUACUUCGGUAUGUAAAGUUCUUUUAAGAGGGAAGAAUGGCCCGUGGAAAAGCGGGCGUGACGGUACCUUUUGAAUAAGCCCUGGCUAACUAUGUGCCAGCCGCCGC